rnacentral:rRNA from 1 species
CGGGGUGCAGCAGGCGCGAAAACUUUACAAUGCGGGAAACCGUGAUAAGGGGACACCGAGUGCCAGCAUCAUAUGCUGGCUGUCCAGGUGUGUAAAAUACACCUGUUAGCAAGGGCCGGGCAAGACCGGUGCCAGCCGCCGCGGUAACACCGGCGGCCCGAGUGGUGAUCGUGAUUAUUGGGUCUAAAGGGUCCGUAGCCGGUUUGGUCAGUCCUCCGGGAAAUCUGACGGCUCAACCGUUAGGCUUUCGGGGGAUACUGCCAGGCUUGGAACCGGGAGAGGUAAGAGGUACUACAGGGGUAGGAGUGAAAUCUUGUAAUCCCUGUGAGACCACCUGUGGCGAAGGCGUCUUACCAGAACGGGUUCGACGGUGAGGGACGAAAGCUGGGGGCACGAACCGGAUUAGAUACCCGGGUAGUCCCAGCCGUAAACGAUGCUCGCUAGGUGUCAGGCAUGGCGCGACCGUGUCUGGUGCCGCAGGGAAGCCGUGAAGCGAGCCACCUGGGAAGUACGGCCGCAAGGCUGAAACUUAAAGGAAUUGGCGG